rnacentral:lncRNA from 1 species
AUGGGCUUUGCUCAGAAAAUAAAUGGAAUAACCAGAGAGAACCUGCAGACUGUUCUGAAGGAUACAGCAAUACAGAUGAUGCUGCCUCCUGAGUGUAGUGACCUGCUAAUGGAAGAGUACAUGGGGGACACUGAGGAUGCCCAGACCCUCCAAAUACAGUUCACAGAGAUGAUGGGAGAUUUCAUGUUUGUGAUCCCUGCACUCCAAGUCACACAUUUUCAACGUUCCCAUGCCCCUGUCUACUUCUAUGAGUUCCAACAUCCACCCAGCUACUUCAAUAUGUCAGACCACCCCACAUGAAGGCUGACCAUGCUGAUGAGAUUCCUUUUGUCUUUGGGUCCUCCUUCUGGGGCAUGAAACUUGACUUCACUGAUGAGGAGAAGCUGCUGAGCAGGAGAAUGAUCAAGUACUGGGCCAACUUUGCACGACAUGGGAACCCCAACAGCGAGGGUCUACCCUACUGGCCUGUGAUGGACCAUGAUGAGCAGUAUCUGGAGCUGGACAUCCAGCCUGCUGUGGGUCGAGCCCUGAAGGCCAGAAGGUUACAGUUCUGGACCAAGACUCUGCCCCAGAAGAUCCAGGAGCUAAACAGGGCUCAGGAAAACCAUGCAGAGCUGUAGUGUCUGGUAUAAGGAACAGAGUGUGGGAGUGAGGGCAGGUGGAAGCAUUCUGAGAUUCAAAGUCUAUUUUUUUGUUCCAACCCUCUCAGAAUUAUUUCUAAUCCCCAUAAUUUCACUUUCAGUCAUGUAUGAGAAUCUCCCACCACACCCCAUGUUACUGCUUAUUCUUCUGGGCAUACUUUUUUUAUUAGACUCAAUAAAAGUUCCCAUUAUAGUGUGGAUAUGUGAACCCUAAGUACCCAGAUCAUCUUUAACCCUUCACUGAAACUAGGCUCCUUCUUUUUUCCUUCCUUUGCUCUUUCUUUCCUUCUUUCCUUCCUUUCUUCUUUCUUCCCUUUUUUUUCUUCCUUCCUUCCUUCCUUCCUUUUUCCUUUCAUUUGUCCUUCCUUCCUUCCUUCCUUCCUUCCUUCCUUCCUUCCAUUAACUUCUCCCCAUCCUUACUUUCCUCUUCUCCAAGUCCCAGACCCUCUUAAAAUGAAACAGAUGCUUCAGGGACUGUAGACUACAGAAGAUUUGUUACAUCAAAAUUCUGUAUCUUCUCUUUGCAAGUUUAUGUAUUCUCAUAUUUAUAACUGAUGAUAGGAAACCUGAUUUCUCUAAGCCCUGUUGCCUUCAAAAUGCUGUUCCCAAAAGAUCAUAAACUACAAAUUGCACUUGUGCCAUCAGUGGCCUCGAAUGUUUGAGGGCUGAUAUGAAAGGAUUCCAUAAGCCUGGGACAUGAUGACAAGACCCACAUCUCUGAAGCAAAACAAAGAUCAUAACUUCAGUAACUUACAACAAUAGUAACAAAUGUACCGUCUUACAGAUUGGGAAAUUCGUGGUCAAGAUGCACACAGAUUUGCUGUGUGGUGAGAAACAGUUCUCUGGAAAAUGAGUCUCAAGGAUUACUUCUUGUGCCCUCUCCUGGUAGAAUGCAUAAACAAAAUCAUUGUGAGGAUAAUAUCAAGUCCCUGCUGACUUGAACUGGGGCAGGGAAGACCUUCCUAUCAGUGAGGCUGACUACUAUGCAUGCUUCCAUUCUAUAUGUACAACAUUGAAGUUGCCACUGCCAGCAUGCCUGUUCUCAUCAGAUCUAUACAGACACACUAAACUGGGUGUCAAUUAUGUUUGAGACUUUUAAUAAUUAUCUCAUUUGUAAUAGCUCGGAUGUCGAUUGUUUCUAUGAUGCUAGGGAUUCAUCUCAGGGCUUGUGCAUGUUGGGCAAUGGAUCCACCCACAAACUUUCAGCCUACUGUGGGUUCUUUAGAUGAAACUGAAUUGAUCUUUUUUAGGGACCUGGUUUAGUAAGUCUGAGAAAAUUCUCAAGGCGUGCCCCUGCCGCCAAAUCAGAUUUAGAAAUGCUCCCUUGUUCCCCACAGGGCUUCCCUUGGGUCCUUUGGAUGCCAUUAACCACCUUUAACAGUGCUUCAGAGUAAACAUGACAUUGCUUUAGCUUACUAUAUUAGAACUUGUCUCUUAUCUAAUAGAAAUAAAAGAUUUUGUGACUGGUUAAGUCACUUCACAUAAUGUGUUUGUUUCCUUUUAUUGUGGAAUGACAUCCAUGUGUGCACACAACACAGUCUAUCCACUCACCAGACUAUGCACAACUGUUGCCCUUGUUUAUUACCUCUUUUGGGGGAGGGGAGGAGAGAGAUGCGGUUUCUAUGUAGCCCAGGAGGGACCCAAACACAUGAUCUUGCUGCCUUGGCUUCUUCGGUGGGUGGAUAACAGGUUGACUUAUAGGAUUAUAGGGGCACC